GCGCCUCCAUCUUCACAGCAUGAAGGGUGCGGGAUGGGGCAGGAGACCGGAGGGAGUUGAGGUUUUGCACCCGAUAAGGAGACGCAUAAAGGGAACGGGUGGGGACACAGGGCCCCUGCAGCCUCAGGAGGAUCAGCAGUGGCCUGGUUUACUCGUGUCGUCAUUCGUCGUGGGCACCUUGUCCCCGGGGCCGGCCAGUUACUUGGCCUCCUGGCUCAUCAUCCUGCCGGAAGCAUCUCCAGCUUGGGGAUGUUGGAGGGUCCCUGGCCCCACCUGGCUGGGGAUGGAGUGUAAGCCGAGGAGAUGCCAUGUGAGGGUGCAGCGAGGAGUUGGGCUGUCUAAAAGCAAAGAAAGAGAUUGCAUCAGACACCGCAUCUGCUGACACCUUGUUCUUGGACUUCCAGCUUCCAAAACCGCGAGAAAUAAAUGUCUGUGUCUAAACCCCAACCCUACCACCUCAACUGCCGUGUGUGGUGUUUUGUGAUGGCAGCCCCAGCUGACUGAGACACCUGGUUAGACCGGAAUAAGCAGUACCUGAGUCCCUUAAGAGUGGCCAAAGAAGAAAGAAUCCACUGAGUUGACAUUCCAGUUCAGCUGCAAUCGGUAGCAGUCACCAUUGAACAUCCUUGAAGCAAUUCUUCCAAAAUUACCUUGCAUCAAAGACUGCACAAGAACUGCUCUAAGCGGAAGGACUGAUGUCGGCAACCAGGGUUCCACCAGGGGCUGCAGACAGCCCUUGACCUUCAGGUGGGAAGGUGUCACUGAGUUCAGACCCUCUGGCAAUCCCUAGCUAUCAACAUUUUGAUAAGAAAAUAAGUGGAAAGAAGUAACCAAAUUUACUCACGUAGGCCAGGAAUUUCUAUGACGUGUUCCAAAUUCAGCCUCUCACUGAACACUUCCAGAGCAAGGCAACAUAAACAUCUGCAAGAAGAACAUUGUGUGAGAAAUAUCAAGUGAGAGUGGAAGAGUCUGCGGAGGGCCUCCCUGGGGCUCACCUGUGCUUUUGCCUGAGCUUCACCGUGUCAAGCAAUGUAAAAUGAACCUGCUUCCCCUUCAUCUUCCACCAUGAUUAUAAGUUUC
rnacentral:lncRNA from 1 species